rnacentral:rRNA from 1 species
CGCAUCUGUGCAUGCAGCAUAUCAAUAAGCGGAGGAAAAGGAGUGUACCUACGCUUAGGAUGUUGACACACGCGCGUGCUCGAUGAUAGUCUAUACAUGACUCUGUGCAUAUCAAUAAGCGGAGGAAAAGAGGGCUAUUACCUACGCUUAGGAUGUUGACACACGCACGUGCUCGACUCUACACAUGACUCUGUGCAUAUCAAUAAGCGGAGGAAAAGGCUGCGGAACUGAACGACCGCUACCUACGCUUAGGAUGUUGACACACGCGCGUGCUCGACUCUAUACAUGACUCUGUGCAUAUCAAUAAGCGGAGGAAAAGCAUAACAUGUAUACCUACGCUUAGGAUGUUGACACACGCGCGUGCUCGAUGAUAGUCUAUACAUGACUCUGUGCAUAUCAAUAAGCGGAGGAAAAGGCUGCGGAACUGAACGACCGCUACCUACGCUUAGGAUGUUGACACACGCGCGUGCUCGACUCUAUACAUGACUCUGCGCAUAUCAAUAAGCGGAGGAAAAGAAACUAACAAGGAUUCCCUUAGUAACGGCGAGUGAAGCGGGAAGAGCUCAAAUUUGAAAUCUUCAAGGUUUUACCUUGACGAAUUGUAGUUUAAAGAAGUGUUUUCUGUUGAAGUUUUGGUAAAAGUUCUUUGGAAUAGGACAUCAUAGAGGGUGAGAAUCCCGUAUUUGACCAUUAUUUUCAGCUGUGUGAUACACUUUCAAAGAGUCGGAUUGUUUGGGAAUGCAGUCCAAAAUGGGUGGUAAAUUUCAUCUAAAGCUAAAUAUUGGCGAGAGACCGAUAGCGAACAAGUACCGUGAGGGAAAGAUGAAAAGAACUUUGAAAAGAGAGUUAAACAGUACGUGAAAUUGUCAAAAGGGAAGCGUUUGACACCAGUGUUGUUUUCUCGAAAAUCAAUUAAAAAGAGUUAGAUUUUGUUGUGUAUUGACCUUAACAGCUUGCAUUUCAAUCUUCUUGCUUUUUUUAAUGCACUUUUCGUUUAACAAGUCAACAUCAGUUUCUUUUGUUGUAAAAAGGUCAUUGGAAGGUGGCUUUCUUUUCGGAGAAAGUGUUUAUAGCCUUUGACUCCUGCAAUCGGAGAGACUGAGGUCUGCAGCGUAGAUCCUUCGGGGUUAGAUACAUUUGUGCUAAGUUAUAGCUUUUUAUAGACAACUUGUUGACUAUGAUUAGUCUUGUAGCUUACUCGCUUAUGCUAUUUUACCUACGCUUAGGAUGUUGACACACGCGCGUGCUCG